rnacentral:rRNA from 1 species
GACGAACCGUACGAACGUUAUUCGGAAUCACUGGGCUUAAAGGGUGCGUAGGCGGCGCGACAAGUUGGGUGUGAAAUCCCUCGGCUCAACCGAGGAACUGCGCCCAAAACUGUCGUGCUCGAGGGAGACAGAGGUGAGCGGAACUUAGGGUGGAGCGGUGAAAUGCGUUGAUAUCCUAAGGAACACCGGUGGCGAAAGCGGCUCACUGGGUCUCUUCUGACGCUGAGGCACGAAAGCUAGGAUAGCGAACGGG